UUUUGAAAUUGUGAGGGAAAUGAAAGAAAAAUUGUGUAAUGUUGCGGAUGAUUUCUCAGAAGAAAUUACUUUGUCGGAAUGUUUUCCUGAUGUUGAUAAAUCAUAUGAACUUCCAGAUGGAAAUUUGAUUACUAUUGAUAAGGAGAGGUUCCAAUGUCGAGAGAUUUCGUUUCGACCUUCGAACGAAAUAGGGUCUGAUGGUAUACACAAGUUAUUGUACGACUCAAUUAUGAUAAUUGACAUGGACUGGAGAAAGCAUUAUUAUAUAAACAUAGUUAUAUCUGGCGGAUGUACAAUGUUCUCAGGAUUUGCAAAGCGUCUGCAGAACGAAUUUGCAACUUUGAUUCAAGAACGCAUGCUAACAAAUGUAAUUGCCCCACCAGAAAGAAAAGAUUUGUCAUGGAUUUGUGGAUCAAUUCUUGCUUCAUUAUCAAC